AACAGCUGAACGCCUGAGCCAACGAAGACCCAUGGUGUUUUAAGGUUUUUUAAAAAAUUACCCUUUAACUCUUUUGAUACAUCGUAAAUAUGAGCAAACAUGGAACGUUUUAUUGAGUCAAGAGUAAUAUAUAAUUUUUUACCGUUUUUAACUGCGUUAAUUGUUUUGUAACUUUUUAGGCUAUUUGCCAUAAAAGAGAGCAUUCACAGGGGCAGAAAAGUUUUUCCAUUCAUCCAUCCAUCCAUCCAUCCAUCCAUUUUUAUACCACAAAUUCAGCACAACAUCGCUAUGAGACUGGAGCUCACCGGGCACAAGGCAGGGGACGCCCUGGAUCCCUGGAGAGGAUGCCAAGUCUGUUUUAGUUAGUGACAUGGGAUCGCCUAACUGCAUGUUAUUGUACUGCUGGAGGAAUCCCACAAGGACAAACUCUACAGGCUUGGCUGGAAAUUAAAGCUACAACAGGGGAGACCAGAAUGCUCUCCACUAAGCCUCUGUCCACACAGAAGAGAAGGCUACACUGCGAGGCUGCUUCCAGGCUCGAAGUUUCUAAGACAGCAGUACACAAGAACAAGGUGAAGAAGGGACACUGACAGUAACCAAAUACUAGCCUGGUAGAGGACAGAAGCAACUUUCUAAUGUCAGUGAUGACCGUCAACUUACCUGGCGGUGCCUCAGAAAUUGGAGGAUGACCUCAGGUGACCUUCACCCAAUUCAAAAAGAAUGGGAAAUA